CGAGCAACGCCGCGUGAACGAUGAAGUACUUCGGUAUGUAAAGUUCUUUUAUUGAAGAAGAAAAAAUAGUGGAAAAACUAUCUUGACGCUAUUCAAUGAAUAAGCCCCGGCAAACUAUGUGCCAGCAGCCGCGGUAAUACAUAGGGGGCAAGCGUUAUCCGGAAUUAUUGGGCGUAAAGGGUGCGUAGACUGUUUAAUAAGUCUAUAGUUUAAUUUCAGUGCUUAACACUGUCCUGCUAUAGAAACUAUUAGACUAGAGUGAGAUAGAGGUAAGCGGAAUUCCAUGUGUAGCGGUAAAAUGCGUAAAUAUAUGGAGGAACACCAGAGGCGUAGGCGGCUUACUGGGUCUUUACUGACGUUGAGGCACGAAAGCGUGGGGAGCAAACAGGAUUAGAUACCCUGGUAGUCCACGCUGUAAACGAUGAGUACUAAGUGUCGGGGAAACUCGGUACUGAAGUUAACACAUUAAGUACUCCGCCUGAGUAGUACGUACGCAAGUAUGAAACUUAAAGGAAUUGACGGGACUCCGCACAAGCGGUGGAUCAUGUUGUUUAAUUCGAAGAUACACGAAAAACCUUACCAGGUCUUGACAUACUCUGCAAAGCUAUAGCAAUAUAGUGGAGGUUAUCAGGGAUACAGGUGGUGCAUGGUUGUCGUCAGCUCGUGUCGUGAGAUGUUAGGUUAAGUCCUAAAACGAGCGCAACCCUUAUCGUUAGUUACCAGCAUGUUAUGAUGGGUACUUUAACGAGACUGCCAAU
rnacentral:rRNA from 1 species